GCCCGGUUAGCUCAGUUGGUUAGAGUACUUCCUUGACAUGGAAGGGGUCAGGAGUUCGAGUCUUCUACCGGGCA
rnacentral:tRNA from 1 species